GAUGAACGCUAGCUACAGGCUUAACACAUGCAAGUCGAGGGGAAACGACAUCGAAAGCUUGCUUUUGAUGGGCGUCGACCGGCGCACGGGUGAGUAACGCGUAUCCAACCUGCCCAUCACUUGGGAAUAACCUUGCGAAAGUAAGACUAAUACCCAAUGACAUCCCACGAAGACAUCUGAAUGGGAUUAAAGAUUUAUCGGUGAUGGAUGGGGAUGCGUCUGAUUAGCUUGUUGGCGGGGUAACGGCCCACCAAGGCAACGAUCAGUAGGGGUUCUGAGAGGAAGAUCCCCCACAUUGGAACUGAGACACGGUCCAAACUCCUACGGGAGGCAGCAGUGAGGAAUAUUGGUCACUGGGCGAGAGCCUGAACCAGCCAAGUAGCGUGCAGGAUGACGGCCCUAUGGGUUGUAAACUGCUUUUAUAAGGGAAUAAAGUGGGUCUCGUGAGACUUUUUGCAUGUACCUGAUGAAUAAGGACCGGCUAAUUCCGUG
rnacentral:rRNA from 1 species